rnacentral:rRNA from 1 species
GACGAACGCUGGCGGCGUGCUUAACACAUGCAAGUCGAACGCUGAAGCUCAGCUUUUGUUGGGUGGAUGAGCGGCGAACGGGUGAGUAACACGUGAGUGACCUGCCCCCUUCUUUGGGAUAACGCCCGGAAACGGGUGCUAAUACUGGAUAUUCACUGGUCUUCGCAUGGGGGUUGGUGGAAAGGGUUUUUCUGGUGGGGGAUGGGCUCGCGGCCUAUCAGCUUGUUGGUGGGGUGAUGGCCUACCAAGGCUUUGACGGGUAGCCGGCCUGAGAGGGUGACCGGUCACAUUGGGACUGAGAUACGGCCCAGACUCCUACGGGAGGCAGCAGUGGGGAAUAUUGCACAAUGGGCGCAAGCCUGAUGCAGCGACGCCGCGUGAGGGAUGGAGGCCUUCGGGUUGUGAACCUCUUUCGCUCAUGGUCAAGCCGCAACAAUGGUUGUGGUGAGGGUAGUGGGUAAAGAAGCGCCGGCUAACUACGUG